GCGGGAGUAGCUCAGUGGUAGAGCAUGUGCUUCCCAAGCACAGGGCCGUGGGUUCGAUCCCCAUCUCCCGCUCCA
rnacentral:tRNA from 1 species